rnacentral:rRNA from 1 species
GACAGAGGUCCCGAGCGUUAGGCGGAAUCACUGGGCUUAAAGCGUGUGUAGGCGGACUUGUAAGUACCUUGUGAAAUCCCACGGCUUAACCGUGGAACUGCUUGGUAUACUGCUUGUCUUGGGCCAUCUAGGGGCUAGCGGAACAAACGGUGGAGCGGUGAAAUGCGUAGAUAUCGUAAGGAAGACCAGUGGCGAAGGCGGGUCUCUGGACAGUUCCUGACGCUGAGGCACGAAGGUCAGGGGAGCAAACGGG